rnacentral:rRNA from 1 species
UACGAAGGGGGCUAGCGUUGCUCGGAAUCACUGGGCGUAAAGCGCACGUAGGCGGCUUUUUAAGUCAGAGGUGAAAUCCUGGAGCUCAACUCCAGAACUGCCUUUGAUACUGGAGAGCUUGAGUUCGGGAGAGGUGAGUGGAACUGCGAGUGUAGAGGUGAAAUUCGUAGAUAUUGGGAAGAACACCGAUGGCGAAGGCAGCCAUCUGGACCGACACUGACGCUGAGGCGCGAAAGCGUGGGGAGCAAACAGG